AUUGAACGCUGGCGGCAUGCUUUACACAUGCAAGUCGAACGGACCUAGGGGCUUGCUCCUAGGUUAGUGGCGAACGGGUGAGUAAUGCAUCGGAACGUACCGUGUAAUGGGGGAUAACGCAGCGAAAGUUGUGCUAAUACCGCAUACGAUCUACGGAUGAAAGCAGGGGAUCGCAAGACCUUGCGUUAUACGAGCGGCCGAUGUCGGAUUAGCUAGUUGGUAGGGUAAAGGCCUACCAAGGCAACGAUCCGUAGCGGGUCUGAGAGGAUGAUCCGCCACACUGGGACUGAGACACGGCCCAGACUCCUACGGGAGGCAGCAGUGGGGAAUUUUGGACAAUGGGCGCAAGCCUGAUCCAGCCAUGCCGCGUGAGUGAAGAAGGCC
rnacentral:rRNA from 1 species